rnacentral:SRP_RNA from 1 species
NNNNNNNUCCCAGCUACUCGGGAGGCCGAGGCUGGGGAAUUGCUUGAGUCCAGGAGUUUUGGGCUGUAGUUCACUAUGCCAAUCAGGUGUCCACAUUAAGUUCAGCAUCAAUGUGGUUACCUCCCAGGAGCAGGGGACCACCACCAGGUUGCCUAAGGAGCGGUGAACUGGCCCAGGUCAGAAACAGAGCAGGUCAAAACUCCUGUGCUGAUCAGUAGCGGAUCGCCCCUGUGAAUAGCCACUGCACUCCAGCCUGGGCAACAUAGUGAGACCCUGUCUCA